rnacentral:rRNA from 1 species
GACGAACGCUGGCGGCGUGCCUAACACAUGCAAGUCGAACGGAGAUGCCAAGCGGGUAACUGCGAAGCAUCUUAGUGGCGGACGGGUGAGUAACGCGUGGGCAACCUGCCUUUCACAGGGGGAUAACACAGGGAAACCUGUGCUAAUACCGCAUAACAUCAAUACAGGGCAUCCUGUAAUGAUCAAAGGAGUGAAAUCCGGUGAAAGAUGGGCCCGCGUCCGAUUAGCUAGUUGGCGGUGUAACGGACCACCAAGGCGACGAUCGGUAGCCGAACUGAGAGGUUGAUCGGCCACAUUGGGACUGAGACACGGCCCAGACUCCUACGGGAGGCAGCAGUGGGGAAUAUUGCACAAUGGAGGAAACUCUGAUGCAGCGACGCCGCGUGAGCGAUGAAGGUUUUCGAAUCGUAAAGCUCUGUCCUAAGGGACGAUAAUGACGGUACCUUAGGAGGAAGCCCCGGCUAACUACGUG